AUAUCCCUUCUGCCCCCUCCUACUCGUGUUUUUGGCCGACAGAUAUUGCACUACAGUAUUUUUCAGACCAUCAUAAAUAGAUCUCUGCCGUUGCUAUAGAGAGAAAUAUUAAUGGAGUCUUUUUGUAGGCCCUAACUCCGCCAUGUUCGUUGGACAAAGCCUAUGAGGAAAAUUAAUGGCGUAUUUGUAGGAUUUUGGAUAAACACCGAAAAUAAGGUCUGUGGGAAACACAGAUAUAGGAUAUCGUAUUUGUUCUAUUAGAUCAACUUCAUUAGCUAACAUCACUUUUAUUUCAUGUUGGAAGUUGUUUGGUAAUAAUAAUAAAAAACACAUACAUCUCAUAAAGUUAAUGUAAACUGACUGCUAUUAUUUCAUAAAACACAACAAAUAAGAUAUCCUAAGCCUGUGUUAAAGAAGCAUUAUGUCGAAUUGUUGCAUUAUAAUGUCAUAAUAUAUCUGCAGUAAUAGUAGAAUGAUAGUGUUUAACGUAUAAAUAUAUAAUGCUUUGGGCUCUUACAAAACACUCCAUAUGUAACGGAUGUGAAAUGGCUAGUUAGUGGUGGUGCGCGCUAACAGCGUUUCAAUCGGUGACGUCACUUGUUCAGCAAGGGCCGCGGCUUUUGUGGAGCGAUGCUUCGAGGGUGGCUGUUGUCGAUGUGUGCAGAGAGUCCCUGGUUCGUGCCCAGGUGGCGGUAAUUACGUUGGUGGCGGUAAUGACAGAUUUUAUUGUGCUGUAAUUUAAACUAGAAGAUCUGACGUCCUUUCCCUUCGCCAAAGGCAGCACAAAGUCGGACGUGGAAGUUUGGACCAGUCAGAUAAAGCAGACUCUCACAGCCAAGAGGACGUUGUUCCUUACCUGGCAGGAGAGACGCAUGGGAACUCACACAGAACAACAGUAAGUCGUACCAUUUCCGGAGACCUUCUCCCUUACCUCACCUCGCUCAUCAACUCAUCCUUGACCGCUGGCUACGUCCCUUCCGUCUUCAAGAGUGUGAGAGUUGCA